rnacentral:rRNA from 1 species
UACGGAGGGUGCGAGCGUUGUCCGGAAUCACUGGGCGUAAAGGGCGCGUAGGCGGCCUGAUAAGUAGGGGGGUGAAAUCCUGCGGCUUAACCGCAGGGCUGCCUUCUAAACUGUCGGGCUCGAGCACAGUAGAGGCAGGUGGAAUUCCCGGUGUAGCGGUGGAAUGCGUAGAGAUCGGGAAGAACAUCGGUGGCGAAGGCGGCCUGCUGGGCUGUUGCUGACGCUGAGGCGCGACAGCGUGGGGAGCAAACAGG